GCUGGUGCUGGCUUGAUGCAGUGUACUGUGUGAAAGACAUGGGUAGUGAGAUUGUGACAUCUCAAGACUAUCCCGCUACCUUGUCUCUCAUCACAGCGUGCUGGCUCUUACAACGGGGGACAA
rnacentral:precursor_RNA from 8 species